GGAAACUUGGUUCCUCCACUUUAUGGCACUGAUCGUCUGUACGUAAACAUUCAAAAUGAAUUGAAGUAUUCAGUUGUGGAUAUUGUUGAUAGUUUGCUUUGGAUUUCUCCUCAACUGGACACCUUAUCUUUUCACCAAGCUGAAUUAAAGACCCUGAAGUUUAUUUAUGAAGAUGCAUCAGAUGAAGAUGAGAAGCCUUGUUGCACAUCUUUAAGUUGCAAAUGUUGGAGGUAUAAUUUAAAGCAAGUCAAAAUGCAAAACUUUUCAUGUAUGGAGCAAAAGGAGUUGAGAAACCAUUUUUUCGCAAAUCCGGACCUCAUAAUUAAUGAGGUUGUUGGGCCAAGCUGUGAAAAUGGGCUACAGGAUGACCCAUUAAGUGGGCUCGGUAAUCUGCCAAGAAGAAGCAAAAGGGAGCGGCUUCCAAAUCAGAAACUGGUUGAUUAUAUCUGCGGUGUUGUCUCAAGACGUCGGCGAGGAACAAUAUGCAAUAAGGAGACCAGUAUUAGAACUAGUUUAAAUAGAAUAGUGCAAGCAGGGUAGUAGUCGGAAAAGUUGGUUAAGAUAUUUAUCUUUCUCUGUCUGUGGCUUUAUCUUCCCUUUAUUUCCUGUCUUUCUUCAGCAAGUAUAUCAUUAUCUUGUACUACUAUCUUAAUCUUGUACUGGAUUCCAAAAUUAUCAGAAUAUUAAUUCCUAUUUCACUAUUUCAUAGUUGUUCUAUGAAAUUCAUGACAACAGAUAUCGACGUUUCCCCACAAUGCUUUGAGUCCAAGAUUUCAUUUCAAUAAAUGUACUUUGAAUUGAAGCUUCUUUGGUUCUUUGGUCUGGUUGUAUGUAGUCGUAUCUUUUCAUAAUCUGGAAGAAAUUUGAUCUUGUCUAGUUGGAAGAUAUAGUUGUAUUCUUUGACGAUGGGAAUUUUUUGUUUGUUGUGCUCCUAUAUCUUUUUUUAAACGACUAAAUUUGACUAUUUGAGCAUGUAUGGAGCAAGAGAAAUUGACUGAUUAUUUCUUCUUUCUGUUGCCAUUGGUAGUGACAGACGAUAUAACAAUGCUAGGGUGGAGUAUGCAAUCAGAAAGCAUAUUCAAAAACUGUACCCACAUUUUCUCGGGUUACCUGUAGAUUCUUGGCAUCUUGGUCUUUCCUAUUGGGCAACUCUCUUUCAGAUACCUUGGGGUGGUUCUAAAAUACUAUUUGUGGCACAGUGUCGUUUUAUUUUGGGCAACAACACCAACAAUUUUCUCGUUGUUCAAGUUUGUUCUCUAUACUUUGAUGGGCCAUCAAUCUGAUGCAGCAACGGUUUUCACUUGUGUCGCACUAUUUAAUAACUUGAUUUCUCCACUCCCUUGGGUCAUCAAUGGGUUAAUCGAUGCAAGUUGUGAAAAUUCUGUUGGUUUCCGAUUUUAUCCUCCCCUAUUUUAUAAUAUUUGUUCACUAAUUAAUUUGUUUUGCCGGCAGCAAUAUCUUCUAGGAGGUUAUGCAAUUAUCUAUCCUGUUUUGAACAAGAGAUAGACAUGGAACAACCUAUCCAUUGUUCGGAUUUCUCUUGCUCUAAUAAGAAGACAGAUGUGUCUGUUGUCAUCCGUAAUGCAUCUUCCACGUGGUCUAGCAGUGACCAUAAGGAAAUAGAUUUGGUUUUGGAUCGUGUUAAUCUUCUUAAUCCGAAAGGUAUACUGGUUGCAUUGGUUGGAGAGGUGAAACUCUGCUUUAUACUUUUAUAAAUUAUUUAUUUAGUAGCUUUGAACUUAUUAGAAAUGUGAGAAAAGCUGGACCAGGCCUCAUUUAACGUAAAAUUUAGAGUAUCUAAAGCUUGGUUUAUGUUCUGAAAUUUAAGGUUCCCUUUUUUCCCAUUUUAAAACUUUUAGGUUCGGGGUGACAUUUCAUAAGUGGAUGUAAACAAUACAAACUUGAUGAUAUAACAUUUCUCCGGGUAGGUUGGGUCAGGUAAAUCAUCCUUGUUGAAUUUGAUUUUGGGGGAACUGAGGCUAAUCGACGGAUCUGUGAAUCGGGAUGGUUCUGUAGCAUAUGUACCACAGGUGAACAAACUGCUGUUAAUAUUUGAUGUAUUAUGCAGCACUCUGAUCUCGUAUUUUAUCUGUCUUUUUAGGUUGCUUGGAUUCUCUCAGGAACCAUACGUGAUAACAUUUUGUUCGGGAGCGAGUAUUACCCAUGGAGGUGUAUUUCCUUCACCUUUUGACAAGUCAAUACGAACUUGUUUGGACAGUUUCAGUUGCAUUCAGUUUUCAGUUUCUCUGCAUUUCCAAAUUCCCAAUUCUAAAGUUAACUUCAAUGUUCAUUAAGCUAAUAUUCUGAAGGUUUAUUAAGGAGUCACUACUUAACAGAAGCUCUUCUUGGAUUUUGAUGGGGAGCAAAUUCUAAAAAGUAUUACAAGCUUGUGGACUUGCAUAUUUCCAGAAUGAUGGGAGGUGAUCUAACCUCUGUUGGAAAAAAAAGGAUUUAACUUAUCGGGUGGACAGAGAGCUCGUCUUGCACUUGCUAGGUGACACGAUCUUCUUCUCUUUUCAGAACGCAAAAGGUAAUGUGAGUAUUGAAUUAUCUUAUCUUUUGAAAACUCUCUCUAUCUGGCAGAGGUAUCUAUCAUGACGCCGAAAUUUACCUUCUUGAUGAUAUCCUCAGUGCAGUUGAUGCUCAUGUUGGUUGUUCAAUUCUACAUAAUGCAAUUGUAGGCCCUCUGA